rnacentral:rRNA from 1 species
UACGUAGGCAGCGAGCGUUGUUCGGAGUUACUGGGCGUAAAGCGUGCGUAGGCGGUGGCCCAAGUCUGGUGUGAAAUCUCCCGGCUUAACCGGGAGGGUGCGCCGGAAACUGGGUUGCUGGAGUGCCGGAGAGGCAGGCGGAAUUCCUGGAGUAGCGGUGAAAUGCGUAGAUAUCAGGAGGAACACCCGUGGUGUAGACGGCCUGCUGGACGGUAACUGACGCUGAGGCACGAAAGCGUGGGGAGCAAACAGG